rnacentral:rRNA from 1 species
UAACGGCCUACCAAAGCGACGAUCCAUAGCCGGCCUGAGAGGGCGACCGGCCACAUUGGGACUGAGACACGGCCCAAACUCCUACGGGAGGCAGCAGUGGGGAAUAUUGCACAAUGGGGGAAACCCUGAUGCAGCGACGCCGCGUGACUGAAGAAGUAUUUCGGUAUGUAAAGGUCUAUCAGCAAGGAAGAAGAAUGACGGUACCUGACUAAGAAGCUCCGGCUAAAUAC